rnacentral:rRNA from 1 species
GACGAACGCUGGCGGCGUGCUUAACACAUGCAAGUCGAACGGAAAGGCCCUGCUUUUGUGGGGUGCUCGAGUGGCGAACGGGUGAGUAACACGUGAGUAACCUGCCCUUGACUUUGGGAUAACUUCAGGAAACUGGGGCUAAUACCGGAUAGGAGCUCCUGCUACAUGGUGGGGGUUGGAAAGUUUCGGCGGUUGGGGAUGGACUCGCGGCUUAUCAGCUUGUUGGUGGGGUAGUGGCUUACCAAGGCUUUGACGGGUAGCCGGCCUGAGAGGGUGACCGGCCACAUUGGGACUGAGAUACGGCCCAGACUCCUACGGGAGGCAGCAGUGGGGAAUAUUGCACAAUGGGCGGAAGCCUGAUGCAGCAACGCCGCGUGCGGGAUGACGGCCUUCGGGUUGUAAACCGCUUUCGCCUGUGACGAAGCGUGAGGGACGGUAAUGGGUAAAGAAGCACCGGCUAACUACGU